CGGCGCGCAACAAUGCGAGUCUACGGUGCUGAGAUCGUUUCAGUUUCCAAGGAAGGGGGAAUGGAGGAGGCCCGAGACCUGGCACUCAAAAUGGAGCGCGAAGGCCGCGGAAUAGUGCUC
rnacentral:SRP_RNA from 15 species